UGAUGGUAUAAGUAGCUCAGACAAUGAUGAUGAUUUAAGCCAUGUGAUUAAGUUUAAGAUUUCGGACUUCAAUGUUCAUGAUCGUGUUAGCAUUGGCCUUGGGGAUAGGGGUGAUGAAAUUGUAUAUGAAGCUACAGUGAAUGAAGCUAGUAGUCCAAUGUUCAAUAAGAAAGUUGUGCUUCGGCGACUGGUUAGCAAUCAGGUGCAGCGUAGGGGAAGAAGGGCAAUAGAGGUAUUGAAAAGACUGGCUCACCAUAGAGUAAUGUACCAUUCUUACUCGGUUCAAGUUCAUGGCUAUAUAUGUUCAUCCACAAAUGAUAACAGUGGUUAAUUUACUCUAGUACAUGGUUAUCAUGGCAAUUCUUCUUUGAGACAUUGGCUUCAACAAGCAGAUUGGCUACCAACUCUAGAAGCUACUCUCGUGUUGGAUGAGGAGUCUGUCAGGCGAGUCGGUGAUGAUACAGUGGGAGGACCUGCAGUUUCUCGACAAUUACGUCUUAUUCGAAACUUGGCUGUACUUGUUUCAGUGUAGGAGAGAUUUGCGUUAUCAAGUCAUAUAUAGUCACACGUGGUCAUAUACAUAUAGUCAUAUAUAGUCACGUGUAGUCAUAUACAU